UCCUACCAUCUUGGCCUAACAGCGCUGUUUUGGUGCUUCUCUACUGGCACAAUAAGUUGAUGUUGCUAAUCUUGAACAGAUUGUUCAUGGAUGAUUGCUUUUAGGGGCAUGCUAUGCUCACAUACAUGAUUUGGUUGUAGAGUACCUCAUCCUGGUUCCUAAGCAGAAUCAUGCAUAGUUUUCAGUAAUGUACUUCACUUGAAUAUAGAAAGGACACAGCUAGAAAUGCUAUGUAUCCAAGGCUUGAGUUAGGCUAUCGUUUAUCAUGCAACAGAUAAGCUAGCCUUCAAUAGCUUCCUCCAAGCCAUCCCAACUCUGCUUAUUUCGAAGACAUGUUCAUCCUUUAUAUCUUCUAUGCAGUAACUGAUGAUGGUUUCUACGAAUAAUUAUCUGAUUUCCAUCAAUAUCAAUACACUCCUUUCAGCUGAUCUAGGUUUGAAUAGUUUAUUCUAUGUCUCUUAUCCAAAUCGGAAUAGGUGCAGGGCCUUGGCAGGUGAUGCUUAAACGAGCAGAUGGCUCAUACUCUUGUGUAGCAGAGAGUGUGACGCGCUUCACACUUGGUGAGUCUGCCACUUGGUAGGAAGAAGAUGUUAAACUUGAAACAUCUUCUGAUUGGCGCAGUUGAGUUAGCAGCAGCAAGCAGAGAAGCACACAUCAGAUGCUUAUUGAAAGUCAAGCAGCGAAGUUUCACGCGAGGUUUCGGUGUUGGAGAUUGAUUUGUUCUUUCUUUCAUCAUUUCCUACCCUAUGUAUUUUAUACCCACUUCAAUCCUAGUUUCCUUUCAUAAAUCUCAUUUAUGUAUCUUUUGAUAAAGUGAAUAACGCACAAACACGCGGCUAUUGUAAAGAACGCACAGGAACUUCGGUCAUGUUCUAUUCUCUGCUUAGUUGCAGAACGCAAUGCUCGACUGAGCCCAUUACUGUUUAA